rnacentral:rRNA from 1 species
AUAACCUACCUAUAAGACUGGGAUAACUUCGGGAAACCGGAGCUAAUACCGGAUAAUAUAUUGAACCGCAUGGUUCAAUAGUGAAAGACGGUUUUGCUGUCACUUAUAGAUGGAUCCGCGCUGCAUUAGCUAGUUGGUAAGGUAACGGCUUACCAAGGCAACGAUGCGUAGCCGACCUGAGAGGGUGAUCGGCCACACUGGAACUGAGACACGGUCCAGACUCCUACGGGAGGCAGCAGCC